UUUUCAAGGUUUACCAGGAGGGACAUUAUCAGGAGAUCCAGGUUGGAAAAAUUUAGUGUGGUGGUUUUUCUGAGCUACAAUUACCACAAACGAUGGGGACCACUUCUUAUCAAGAAACUUACACGCCUG